CCUACGGGUGACAGCAGUGAGGAAUAUUGGUCAAUGGACGAGCGUCUGAACCAGCCAAGUAGCGUGAAGGAUGACUGCCCUAUGGGUUGUAAACUUCUUUUAUAUGGGAAUAAAAUGUUCCACGUGUGGGAUUUUGUAUGUACCAUAUGAAUAAGGAUCGGCUAACUCCGUGCCAGCAGCCGCGGUAAUACGGAGGAUCCGAGCGUUAUCCGGAUUUAUUGGGUUUAAAGGGAGCGUAGGUGGAUUGUUAAGUCAGUUGUGAAAGUUUGCGGCUCAACCGUAAAAUGGCAGUUGAAACUGGCAGUCUUGAGUACAGUAGAGGUGGGCGGAAUUCGUGGUGUAGCGGUGAAAUGCUUAGAUAUCACGAAGAACUCCGAUUGCGAAGGCAGUUCACUGGACUGCAACUGACACUGAGGCUCGAAAGUGUGGGUAUCAAACAGGAUUAGAUACCCGAGUAGUC
rnacentral:rRNA from 1 species